rnacentral:rRNA from 1 species
UACGUAGGGUCCGAGCGUUGUCCGGAAUUACUGGGCGUAAAGAGCUCGUAGGCGGUGUGUCACGUCGGCCGUGAAAACCUGGGGCUCAACUCUGGCGUGCGGUCGAUACGGGCAUCACUUGAGUUCGGCAGGGGAGACUGGAAUUCCUGGUGUAGCGGUGAAAUGCGCAGAUAUCAGGAGGAACACCGGUGGCGAAGGCGGGUCUCUGGGCAGUAACUGACGCUGAGGAGCGAAAGCGUGGGGAGCGAACAGG